rnacentral:rRNA from 1 species
CAGUCGCCGCGGUAAUACAGAGGGUGCGAGCGUUAAUCGGAUUUACUGGGCGUAAAGCGUGCGUAGGCGGCUUCUUAAGUCGGAUGUGAAAUCCCUGAGCUUAACUUAGGAAUUGCAUUCGAUACUGGGAAGCUAGAGUAUGGGAGAGGAUGGUAGAAUUCCAGGUGUAGCGGUGAAAUGCGUAGAGAUCUGGAGGAAUACCGAUGGCGAAGGCAGCCAUCUGGCCUAAUACUGACGCUGAGGUACGAAAGCAUGGGGAGCAAACAGGAUUAGAUACCCCUGUAGUCCCUGUCUCUAUACA